CCCUCAACACGUAUAAAGUAACCGGGCAGUUUCCUUGGAGCUCCUUAAAGGAGACUGACAGAGGAGUGUCUGCUGAGCUAAAUUUUCCCCUGGGUGCGACUAACCACACACUGAAGUGGGAGGGUGUAUGGAGGGAGCUGGGCUGCCUGGCACGCAGUGCUUCCUUCGCUGUCCGAGAGGAAAGUGGACACUCCCUGAAAUCUGCACUUUCACACACCAUGUCAAUUGAUUCAAGAAAUUCUGCCAUCUUUCCCAGUAGAGGUGCCUUACUACGCAUCAACC